rnacentral:rRNA from 1 species
CGUAGCCGGUUGAUAAGUCACUGGUGAAAUCCUGUAGCUUAACUGUGGGAAUUGCUGGUGAUACUGUUGAACUUGAGGUCGGGAGAGGUUAGCGGUACUCCCAGGGUAGAGGUGAAAUUCUGUAAUCCUGGGAGGACCACCUGUGGCGAAGGCGGCUAACUGGAACGAACCUGACGGUGAGGGACGAAAGCUAGGGGCGGCGAACCGGAUUAGAUACCCGGGUAGUCCUAGCCGUAAACGAUGCGGACUUGGUGUUGGGAUGGCUUUGAGCCGCUCCGGUGCCGAAGGGAAGCUGUUAAGUCCGCCGCCUGGGAAGUACGGUCGCAAGACUGAACUUAAAGGAAUUGGCGGGGGAGGCACCACAACGCGUGGAGCCUGCGGUUUAAUUGGAUUCAACGCCGGACAUCUCACCAGGAGCGACAGCUGUAUGAUUACCAGGCUGAUGACCUUGUUUGACUAGCUGAGAGGUGGUGCAUGG